AAAGGAAAGGUCUUGGAUUUUUGAAAAAGCUACGCUAGGGAUAACAGGCUAAUUGCGCCAGAGAGUACAAAUUGAGUGCGCAGUUUGGCACCUCGAUGUCGGCUUAGCUCAUCCACAUGAAUGCAGAAAUCAUGAAGGGUACGACUGUUCGUCGAUUAAAGAGCUACACGAGCUGGGUUAAAUACGUCGUGAGACAGUAUGGUUUCUAUCUUCUAG
rnacentral:rRNA from 1 species